GUUCUUUCCAAAUACUGAUCACUGAAUGUCAUGGCUUUCAAAUCUCUGGACAGAAAGUACUUUCUUAGGAUAAACCAUAACAAACAUGUUGGGAAACAUACCAUACUUUCUGGCCACCUACAUUUUUAAAACCAAGUUUGUCAUGGUGACGUUUUGUAAGCAUUUUGUCAACUGUGCUGCUGGCAAGGCCAGAGGUCAAGGAAGAAACGACUCGCUUCUGAUGUGAGAGAAUUGGCUGUCUACAGACACGUUGCCCAGAGGACCCCCGGAUGUGUUGUUGGGAGGCUUCUCUCAUGUCCCCACAAGCUGACAG
rnacentral:lncRNA from 11 species